GGCCCCGGAGCAUGCUGGGAGUGUUGAGUCAUGGGGGCUGUCAGCUCCCGGCUGAGGGAGACGGUGUGAGGAGGAAGACAAGGGUACAAUCGCUGACCUCCUCCCCUAUCACAGCCCCCGCCCGCCUCAGACAUGGUCCCGGAGAACCUGAUACCAAGGAGGAGCAGACACAGGCUGGGAUCUCAUCAUCCUGGGAGAGGGCAUUCUGCAUAAGAGAUUGACAAUUUGAAGAUUUGGGAUCAGAUAUUUUGUGUAUUACAUGACUUUUCAGGAAAUUGCAGGUUUUUUUUUGCUUGUCUCUGUAAUGGAAGAAGAACAAUGACAUCUCAAGCAGCACUCUAGAUGCUGAGACGAGUAAUCUUCAUUUAGUAGUAUUUCUAGUCCUUUUUCCCCCCUGUCUAAUACCACAAUACAGCACAGCUAUGUAUGGAAGUGCUCGUACAAUCACUAAUUUGGAAGGCAGUCCUUCCAGAUCACCUCGUUUGCCAAGAUCACCUCGCUUGGGCCAUAGACGAACAAGUAGUGGAGGAGGAGGAGGAGGAGCAGGUAAAACACUGUCAAUGGAGAAUAUCCAGUCACUUAAUGCAGCCUAUGCAACGUCUGGACCCAUGUACUUGAGUGACCAUGAGGGAGUAGCAUCUACUGCGUUUCCAAAAGGAACCAUGACUCUAGGAAGGGCUACAAAUAGAGCAGUAUAUGGUGGUAGAGUCACAGCCAUGGGAAGCAGUCCAAAUAUUGCUUCAGCUGGCCUUUCUCACACUGAUGUCCUGUCCUACAGUGACCACGUAGCCUUGAGCAACGCCUCUCACCAUCAUCACCACCAUCACCAUCAAGUUCCAUCUAUGUUGAGACAGGUGAGAGACAGCACAAUGCUUGAUCUUCAGGUUCAGCUGAAGGAUCUGCAGCGGGAAAAUGAACUUCUAAGAAAAGAGCUGGAUAUAAAAGACAGCAAGCUGGGGUCGUCCAUGAACAGUAUUAAGACAUUCUGGAGCCCAGAACUCAAGAAAGAAAGAGUUCUCCGAAAGGAGGAGGCUGCCAGGAUGUCUGUGUUGAAGGAGCAAAUGAGAGUGACCCAUGAAGAAAAUCAGCUAUUGGAUUCCAGGAAAACAAAGCAUUUACAGUUGACCAUCCAGGCCCUUCAGGAUGAGCUGCGCACUCAGAGGGACCUCAACCAUCUUCUUCAACAGGAAAGUGGUAAUCGAGGUGCAGAACAUUUUACCAUUGAACUCACUGAGGAAAACUUCAGAAGGCUUCAGGCAGAGCAUGACCGGCAAGCCAAAGAACUGUUCCUCCUCAGAAAGACUCUAGAAGAGAUGGAGUUGAGAAUAGAAACACAAAAACAGACACUAAGUGCCAGAGAUGAGUCCAUCAAAAAACUUCUUGAGAUGUUACAAAGUAAAGGUUUGCCCUCAAAGGGAAUGGAGGAAGAGAAUGAAAAGACACGAAGAAUGGUAGAGGCGGAAUCACAACUUAAUCAUUUAGAAGUGCUUCUUGACCAAAAGGACAAAGAAAAUAUUCAUCUAAGAGAGGAGCUGCACAGACGGAAUCAGCUCCAGUCCGAGUCGGCCAAGACCAAAGCUCUGCAGACUGUCAUCGAGAUGAAGGAUACCAAAAUCGCUUCCCUUGAAAGAAACCUUCGAGACCUUGAAGACGAAAUCCAAAUCAUAAAAACAAAUGGCGUCCUGAACACAGAAGACAGGGAAGAGGAAAUCAAACAAAUGGAAGUUUAUAAAAGUCAUUCAAAGUUUAUGAAAAGCAAGAUUGACCAGUUGAAGCUGGAGCUGUCAAAGAAGGAAUCUGAACUUCUUGCCUUACAAACCAAGUUGGAAACUCUUGGCAAUCAGAACUCAGACUGCAAGCAACACAUUGAAGUACUUAAGGAAUCUCUUACUGCCAAAGAACAGAGGGCUGCCAUCCUUCAGACAGAGGUGGAUGCAUUGCGGCUGAGACUAGAAGAGAAGGAAUCAUUUCUUAACAAAAAAACCAAGCAGCUUCAGGAUCUGACAGAAGAGAAGGGCACGUUGGCCGGGGAGAUUAGAGAUAUGAAAGAUAUGCUGGAAGUCAAAGAGAGAAAAAUUAAUGUCCUGCAGAAGAAGAUUGAAAAUCUUCAAGAACAGCUUAGAGACAAGGACAAGCAGCUUGGAAACCUGAAAGAUCGAGUCAAGUCCCUGCAGACGGAUUCCAGUAAUACGGACACUGCCCUCGCCACCCUGGAGGAGGCUCUCUCUGAAAAAGAGAGAAUUAUUGAGCGUUUGAAAGAACAGAGGGAAAGAGACGACCGGGAGAGACUAGAAGAGAUUGAAAACUACAAGAAGGAAAACAAGGACCUUAAAGAGAAGGUGAACAGUUUGCAGGCAGAGUUGACGGAAAAAGAGACCAGUUUAAUUGACUUGAAAGAACAUGCCUCUACUCUGGCUUCGUCUGGUGUAAAGCGGGACUCCAAGUUGAAGUCCUUGGAAAUGGCCAUUGAACAGAAAAAAGAGGAGUGUAGUAAGUUGGAAGCGCAGUUGAAAAAGCAAGCUGAGCAGUUGUUCAAUCAGAUGUACAAUCCUGCGCACGAAGCUGAAGAGGAGGCUCGGAUGAAUCCAGAGCUCACUGACCGACUUAAGCAACUAGACAAAGAAGUUUCCUACUACAGAGAGGAGUGCAGCAAAACACAGGCCGAGGUGGACAGGCUUCUGCAGAUUCUGAAAGAGGUGGAAAAUGAGAAAAACGAGAAAGACAAGCAAAUCGCAGAGCUGGAAAGGAUCAUGAAAGAUCAAAACAAGAAAGUCGCCAAUUUGAAGCACAAUCAACAUAUAGAGAAGAAAAAGAACACCCAACUUACGGAUGACACACGCCGCAGGGACGAUAAUAUGCCAGAUAACUCCCAGCAUCUACAGAUGGAUGAUCUUAUGAACGCUCUUGAAAAGACAAGACAGGAGCUAGAUUCCACCAAAGCCCGUCUCUCUUCAACUCAACAAUCACUUGCUGACAAGGAAGCACACCUGAACAACUUGAUGAUAGACCGCCGAAAACAGCUCGAGGAGAUCCUGGAGAUGAAGCAGCAAGCUCUAUUGGCUGCAAUCAGUGAGAAGGACGCUAACAUCGCUUUGCUGGAGCUAUCUGCCUCAAAGAAGAAGAAAACCCAGGAUGAAGUGAUUGCGCUGAAGAGAGAGAAGGACCGGCUAGUUCACCAGCUGAAACAGCAGGUCUAUAGAGAUAGGCGAGAACAACAAAGCGUGAACAUACCCAACAUAUGUGAUGCUGACUUCAUCACAGACAUAGCUGCCAAGUACCUUGUUUACAGCCACGAUGCAAACACAGUUGAAAAGCCUCAGACACAAAACCGGAUGAAGCUAAUUGCGGACAACUAUGAAGACGAUCACCAUCACCAUCACCACCACCACCACCAUCACCAUCAUCGUUCUCCUGGGAGAAUGCUCUCUAGCCAUAGACCCUCUCCAGAUCAGGAUGACGAGGAGGGGAUAUGGGCAUAACAGCUCCAACAAACCAAAGUUCCAGUUUUAUUUUGUUGGAUAAUCCCGUCUCUGCCGGAGUCACAUCGUCACGACAAGAUCUCAUGCUGUACAUUGAUCAUCUAUCCAACCUUUGCCUAGAGUGAGACCCCCCCAGAACUUUGAUCUAUACUGAGCCAGUUAGGGAAAGAGGAACAGGAGGAGGAGAAGGAAGACAUCUGAUGAAAACAAGGAACAAUGUUUAACACCAGAGCAGUUAAGGAACAGCAAGAUUCAGCAGUGAAGUGCAACAGCCCCAGAAAUGAUCCAGUGCGGAUUCUCUCCUCGCAACACUUCAGAAUUCGGCAUCUGAAACUGAUGUGGGCAGCUGUUGUAUUGUGUCCACAAGUACAGAAAUCCGCAGUAUGAAGCAAUGUGUAUUGUAUGAUUAAUACGUGGUCACGACAGAACCCACAGGAAGUUUUCAUACAACCAGAGUGUAGUUGAUAUUGGUGAUCAACGCUGUACAAUACCAGUCCUGUCUGCAAUCUAAACUGCCGUCUUAAAGCAUUUGAUUAUCAGAAAGGUGUAUUAGAACAAAAACAAAAUGCAUUCCAAAGAUUUACAUCCUCUCCUCUGUCCUCUGGUGUUGUAGCGAUGGGCUUCAGGUUCCUGAAAAGUAACAAAACGGAUUUUAUAAGCAUUCAGUGGCCUGAGUUUGUUGCAUCUGCUCCGCCCAGCCUUAAAACGGAUGGCCUAUCCCAAUAUUACAAUACAAAGUUCCCAAUUUGCUCUGGGCCAGGUUGGACAACCUAAUCAAUAUAUAUGUAAUAAUAACCCCUUACUGCCAGAGAUCUCUGCACAUUCUGUAAUUCAAAUUUUCAUUGCAGCCUCCCCCCAAGGCAGUGAAGGGGUUAAAAAGAACGUGAUUACAAAGUGUCAUGUUUCUCUGACAAAGCAUGGGAUAUCUGAACUAAAGUAAAGGUAACAAAACAUAACAAUUUGUUUGGGUAGUCACAAGUUGAAAGUGUGAAUACUGGAAAACACAAUGACUUUUCUCUGCCCAAAAUAAUGUGGUAUGGUUCUGAGUCACGUUGUGACGAGCAGCAGCAUCACUGGUCAGAACGUUGUCACAGUGACGUUUUUGAGAAAUAAUAUGCAUUGCACCCGGUUCUUCGGUUAGAAAAAAAAGAAAAAGUAAAAAAUAAUAUUUUUUUUUGAUUUUUUUUUUUGCAUGUCAAAAGUUCAUUUGUAUAGUGGGACCCAAGAAACCUUUACAUGCAAAACAUAAUUUUUUAUUGUGUAUGCGUCAGACGUGUGUGUGUGUGUGUGUGUGUGUGUGUGUGUAUACGUGUGUUUUUUUUAAAAUACAUGUCAAUACAGAAAAAAUAGGCCACACCUUUCCCCCCAAUUCCCUUCCACCCAAAAAAACUGUGCCAGAUGUGCCCGGGUCACUCCCAUUUUGUAGCAAAGCUAGAUCCCUCUCCUGGCAGACCCAAUCCCUUUAGGCCACCGGAAAUGGGGACUAUCCUGCUAUAGGCACAUGUAUGUAUUCACUACAUGCAAACAAAUUAUUUCUAAUGAAAAUACUUAAAAUGAGAAUUUGUUGAUAUAUUGCGUUAACUGAUAUACAAAGGUAAAAGUGUGUGUUCAUUGUCCUUUCUUUAUCACUGGUGGCCAUACAUCCGUGGCAGACGCAGAAUGUACAUACUGUUCUGUGCAGUGUUCAUUAUAAUUUAUUAUGGGCUCACUGACAAACUGCAGAUUUUUGUCCCAACUUUUUAGCCCCCGGAGAUAGGAAUUUCAGGGAUGCUGAGAGGGAGGAAGAAGGGUACAAAGUACAUGGGCACACAGCCUACCAAGGAGUUAUGCCCCUCAACAUUGUGAUGACCAUGCCCCUUCACUGGGUGAUGCAGCUUUGCCCUCUGUACCUAGGUCCUGAGGGUUAUCAAAACACAAAAAAGUGGUCUAGGCACUAGACAAACACAAAUAAAUAUUGUAUGACUGUAUACAACCUAUAUGCAGCCACCCUGUGAUAUGGGAUGAAAAAUACUUGGAACUGAUUGUUACUGUAUGUGAAGGAUAUUCUUCUAGCUUUAGUACACUGCAAUUUCCCCAUUUUGUGUAAUAGCUUCUAGGUAUUGCCUAUUUCACCCAGGGUGGCCCAAAAUGACUGCCUUGCUUGGUACCUUCUGUGGGUGCAUUAUGUAACCUAUGGAACUUAGUAAUCAAAAUGGCUGCAAUAACCCAUCAUUAUGCUGACUCUGUGCGUGUUAUGUUCACUGUUUUGGGAUUUGUUUUCUUUGUACAUUAAUACUAAAUCUCUUUGCCAUGUUUUAAUACGCUUGUAAAGCAACUUUUUGUUCUGCUUGAGAAAAGUGCUAUAUAAAUGAAAUUAUUAUUAUUUUAAUAUUAUAAUAGUAAUAUCAGCUAUAGAGAUAAACCAUAUACAAAAAUAUAGAGUGUGGAACUAUAUUUUUAUAUAAAAGAUUUGCAGAGAGCUUUGUGUGUUAUUAAAGUCUCUGACAAAUGAUAUAUGAAAUAUGGACAGAAAUUUAUGGUAACACUACAUGUUAAAGUUUUCCCGGUAUUUGCUUACCAGUCUAUAGUUAGCAGGGCUACAAACUGGACCCCAUCUCUGAAAACAAACAUUUGGAUAUGUUGCCUGUAGGCUACAUUGUUUUUCACAGGAUCCAGUCUCUAGGUCGUCAAUGUCUAGGUCGACCACUAUUGGUCGACAUGGUUUCUAGGUCGACAGGGACUCUAGGUCGACAUGUACUAGGUCGACAUGACAAAAGGUCGACAUGAGUUUUUCUCAUUUUCCCCCCCAUUUUUUAAACUUUUUCAUACUUUACGAUCCACGUGGACUACAAUUCGGAACGGUAACAUGUGCCGAGCGCAGCGAGGCACCUUGCCCGAAGCAUGGCGAGCGAAGCGACACGUGCACUAAUUGGGGUUCCCCAUCACUCUACAAAGAAAACGACACCAAUUUUUUUUUUUAAACUCAUGUUGACCUUUUUUUUUAUGUCGACCUAGAAUCCCUGUCGACCUAGAAACAAUGUCAGCCUACUUUCUGUCAACCAAUAGUGGUUGACCUAGACACAGCCUAGACUUAGUUCGACAAUCUAACAUACCACACCUGUUUUUCACCAUCUAAAUAUGGCAUUAGCUACUGAGGCCAAGCUCCAAAAAAUAAGGAUAGACAUUGAUUUUCGAUGGUUCAACACCAUAAAUGUUUUUCUUACGACGAUAGUGGUUUUACCAUAUGAUGGAGGCUUUCCAAAUGUAGCCACCAUCCAUUGGUGUGAAAGUGAUGGCCAUCCCAUAUUAAAAUAGAGCAUAAUUUGUUUUUUCAUAUAGAAUUCUUUUGAUGCGAUGGUUAGUUACCAUCACAUAUAAGGUUUCGAUGGUGGAAGCCCAGCCAUCAUUUGAUGGUGGGCUUAUGAUGUCCAUCCCUACCAAAAAUCUUUUGCUUGAUAAACUGAGCACUUUCCCUGUCCCUGUAGAAACAUAUAGGGAUUGCUUUUGCAAGCAUACAGAUGGGGUCCACGGCAGAUGCUUCCUGAUAUAGCCCUGAUGCUCAUAAAUGCAUUAAUCCUAAAAAUACAAACGUUUUCAGGGGACUGACCACAUUUUUGGGCUUAAUAUAUAGGCCCACAGGGAGGAAAGGUUCAGUGAUAACAGCUGCAACUCUGCAAUGGAGAGACAGUGUUCUGUUACUAAUACAAUGUACAGUUAGGCCAUUGUGCACAGUUCUAUCCACAGACACUACUCAACUUUACCCCUAUAGUGCUGCAUUUAAGCAAAAAUGCAAAUUACUCUGUUUUUAUAUUAUGUCUGUUGUAGUUAAAUGUGCACAGAUUUAUAUUGUAUACAAACACAUACAAGCACACAUCUUGGUUACCUUUCUGAUACAAAUUGACACGGAUUACUAUAAACACUUUAAGCUUACAAAAAGCAUAAGAUUUCAUAGGAAUGGGAUAGGUCGUACUGGGAGCCUUCGGAGGACAUUGCACAUCAUUCAAGGGGCUGUUUAGUAGGAAAGUGGGACAGGGAUUCAGGGUAUAAAAUAAGUAUAAUUAGGUUUUAUGAGGCAUUUGAAGUUUUGUUUCCUGACAUCACCAAAACACUUCUCCAAACUUUUCCAAAAACCUUUGCACUUCUCAUAAAGAGUCCGACGUCCUUUCCUGCUUAACAGCUGUGAGGUGUUUGUCCCACGGAUGCCAUAAGCUUUGCUGUUCCACAUCAGAAUAUCAAACAAACACUGAAGAUCUUAGUACUGUAGGACAGAAUGAAAUAAUUUUAAUUAUCAGUAAACGUUUUUGCAUGGAAUCUAGAAUCAGAAAUAAAAUAAUGGCUUUGGUUUUUCAGUUAAACCUAAAACUUCCAAUCAUAGGCUCGUAUGCAUGGUGUUGUGUAACAGCGGAAUCUUUUUGUGUAAGGACAGAAAUUUAUAAAAUAUAUAUUACAGGAAGUUGAGGCCUUAUUCAUACUUGCAGUGUUUGUACUGUUGUGGAUACAUAAGUUCACUAUGAUUAAAUUGUCACAGCAUCUGGCGCCCCUACUUGGCGGUGACACUGCAUAAAGCUAGAAGUUUUCCCAGCUGUCUACUUCUGAGACUAUCCCUGGAGAUCAGAGGAGCAGGGAGUGGCACAAAGUGGAAGGACAAAAUUCCAUGUCCUCUUUCAGUUGGGCCUACAUUUAGAGAUCUGGACUGUCUAGGUAAGGCUGAUCCGGGUGAAUAGUGCUGGAAAAUACUAUUAGGAGAGGAGGGUAUCUGAGUUCUCGUGCCCCACAAGCCUUACUUGCCUUCUUUUAAAAAUGCAUAACAGGGUGAUUGCAAAAGCAACACCAUUGCGCGUAGUGCUGAAGAUGGUGUGUACUGCUCCGUCUGACAGGCGUGCCAUAAAUUGAUUUAUGUCCAACUGCAAAUGAGCCCCAAAGCAGUUAUGUACACUAUAUAUAUAUGUUUAUGAGUGUGCGUGUACUUACUGUAUAUAUAUCCCUCAAUGUGCGUGCCCUAAUGGCUCACACCGCAAGGGAGACAGGAUGGCCUUAAGAGAGAAAGACCAGCUGCAGGGGUUAGUAUGGUAUCUGGA